rnacentral:rRNA from 1 species
CCUACGGGACGCAGCAGUGAGGAAUAUUGGUCAAUGGGCGGAAGCCUGAACCAGCCAAGUCGCGUGAGGGAAUAAGGCCCUACGGGUCGUAAACCUCUUUUGCCGGGGAGCAAGGGCGGGGAAGUGUCCCGGCCCGGAGAGUACCCGGAGAAAAAGCAUCGGCUAACUCCGUGCCAGCAGCCGCGGUAAUACGGAGGAUGCGAGCGUUAUCCGGCUUUAUUGGGUUUAAAGGGUGCGGAGGCGGGCUUUUAAGUCAGCGGUAAAAAUUGGGGGCUCAACCCCGUCCGGCCGUGGAAGAUGGGGGG